GGUGUUGUGGCUCAGUGGUAGAGUAGAGCACUUGCCUAGCAUGUGUGAGGCACUGGGUUCAAUUCUCAGUACCG
rnacentral:tRNA from 1 species